CAGCACCUCAAGUGGUCAGGAUAAUUAUUGGGCCUAAAGCAUCCGUAGCCGGCGCUGUAAGUUUUCGGUUAAAUCUGUACGCUCAACGUACAGGCUGCCGGGAAUACUGCAGCGCUAGGGAGUGGGAGAGGUAGACGGUACUCGGUAGGAAGGGGUAAAAUCCUUUGAUCUAUUGAUGACCACCUGUGGCGAAGGCGGUCUACCAGAACACGUCCGACGGUGAGGGAUGAAAGCUGGGGGAGCAAACCGGAUUAGAUACCCGCGUAGUCC
rnacentral:rRNA from 1 species